AAACAUUGCUUUUAGGCCUAAUAUUAAAGGUAAAUCUGCCCAGUGAAUUAGUAAUCACAUAAAUUUUCAACGGCCGCGGUAUUCCUGACCGUGCUAAGGUAGCACAAUCAUGAGCCUCCUAAUUAGAGGAUAGAAUGAAUGAAUCAACAAGAAAAAUACUGUCUCUUACAAAACAAUUGAAAUUUAAGUUUAGGUGAAAAUGCCUAAAUUUAAAACAAAGACAGAAAGACCCUACAAGCUUCUACAAUAAUAUACUAUAAAUAAAAACGUAUUUAACUGGGGCGGUUUCAAGAAACAAACACUUUUAAAAAUAAAGAGCUAUAACUCUAAAAUUUUAUCUACCUAACACACAAGUAAGCUACUGUAGGGAUAACAGACUAAUACUUCUUAAGAGCACAAAUUAACAGAAGUGCUUAGUACCUCGAUGUUGGCUUAAGGAUCCUAUUUUAUGCAGCAGUAAAAAAGGGGGGUUUGUUCAACCUUUAAUACCUUACAUGAUCUGAGUUCAAACCGGAGA
rnacentral:rRNA from 1 species